rnacentral:rRNA from 1 species
GGGUUGUGAGGUUAAGCGACUAAGCGUACACGGUGGAUGCCCUGGCAGUCAGAGGCGAUGAAGGACGUGCUAAUCUGCGAUAAGCGCCGGUAAGGUGAUAUGAACCGUUAUAACCGGCGAUUUCCGAAUGGGGAAACCCAGUGUGAUUCGUCACACUAUCAUUAACUGAAUCCAUAGGUUAAUGAGGCGAACCGGGGGAACUGAAACAUCUAAGUACCCCGAGGAAAAGAAAUCAACCGAGAUUCCCCCAGUAGCGGCGAGCGAACGGGGAGGAGCCCAGAGCCUGAAUCAGCAUGUGUGUUAGUGGAAGCGUCUGGAAAGGUGCGCGAUACAGGGUGACAGCCCCGUACACAAAAGCGCAUGUGCUGUGAGCUCGAUGAGUAGGGCGGGACACGUGGUAUCCUGUCUGAAUAUGGGGGGACCAUCCUCCAAGGCUAAAUACUCCUGACUGACCGAUAGUGAACCAGUACCGUGAGGGAAAGGCGAAAAGAACCCCGGCGAGGGGAGUGAAAAAGAACCUGAAACCGUGUACGUACAAGCAGUGGGAGCACCCUUCGGGGUGUGACUGCGUACCUUUUGUAUAAUGGGUCAGCGACUUAUAUUCUGUAGCAAGGUUAACCGUAUAGGGGAGCCGGAGGGAAACCGAGUCUUAACCGGGCGUUAAGUUGCAGGGUAUAGACCCGAAACCCGGUGAUCUAGCCAUGGGCAGGUUGAAGGUUGGGUAACACUAACUGGAGGACCGAACCGACUAAUGUUGAAAAAUUAGCGGAUGACCUGUGGCUGGGGGUGAAAGGCCAAUCAAACCGGGAGAUAGCUGGUUCUCCCCGAAAGCUAUUUAGGUAGCGCCUCGUGAAUUCAUCUCCGGGGUAGAGCACUGUUUCGGCUAGGGGGCCAUCCCGGCUUACCAACCCGAUGCAAACUGCGAAUACCGGAGAAUGUUAUCACGGGAGACACACGGCGGGUGCUAACGUCCGUCGUGAAGAGGGAAACAACCCAGACCGCCAGCUAAGGUCCCAAAGUCAUGGUUAAGUGGGAAACGAUGUGGGAAGGCCCAGACAGCCAGGAUGUUGGCUUAGAAGCAGCCAUCAUUUAAAGAAAGCGUAAUAGCUCACUGGUCGAGUCGGCCUGCGCGGAAGAUGUAACGGGGCUAAACCAUGCACCGAAGCUGCGGCAGCGACGCUGAUGCGUUGUUGGGUAGGGGAGCGUUCUGUAAGCCUGCGAAGGUGACCUGUGAGGGUUGCUGGAGGUAUCAGAAGUGCGAAUGCUGACAUAAGUAACGAUAAAGCGGGUGAAAAGCCCGCUCGCCGGAAGACCAAGGGUUCCUGUCCAACGUUAAUCGGGGCAGGGUGAGUCGACCCCUAAGGCGAGGCCGAAAGGCGUAGUCGAUGGGAAACGGGUUAAUAUUCCCGUACUUGGUGUUACUGCGAAGGGGGGACGGAGAAGGCUAUGUUGGCCGGGCGACGGUUGUCCCGGUUUAAGCGUGUAGGUGUGUGUUCCAGGUAAAUCCGGUUCACUUUAACACUGAGGCGUGAUGACGAGGCACUACGGUGCUGAAGCAACAAAUGCCCUGCUUCCAGGAAAAGCCUCUAAGCAUCAGGUAACAUCAAAUCGUACCCCAAACCGACACAGGUGGUCAGGUAGAGAAUACCAAGGCGCUUGAGAGAACUCGGGUGAAGGAACUAGGCAAAAUGGUGCCGUAACUUCGGGAGAAGGCACGCUGACACGUAGGUGAAGUGAUUUACUCACGGAGCUGAAGUCAGUCGAAGAUACCAGCUGGCUGCAACUGUUUAUUAAAAACACAGCACUGUGCAAACACGAAAGUGGACGUAUACGGUGUGACGCCUGCCCGGUGCCGGAAGGUUAAUUGAUGGGGUCAGCGCAAGCGAAGCUCCUGAUCGAAGCCCCGGUAAACGGCGGCCGUAACUAUAACGGUCCUAAGGUAGCGAAAUUCCUUGUCGGGUAAGUUCCGACCUGCACGAAUGGCGUAAUGAUGGCCAGGCUGUCUCCACCCGAGACUCAGUGAAAUUGAACUCGCUGUGAAGAUGCAGUGUACCCGCGGCAAGACGGAAAGACCCCGUGAACCUUUACUAUAGCUUGACACUGAACAUUGAGCCUUGAUGUGUAGGAUAGGUGGGAGGCUUUGAAGUGUGGACGCCAGUCUGCAUGGAGCCGACCUUGAAAUACCACCCUUUAAUGUUUGAUGUUCUAACGUGGACCCGUAAUCCGGGUUGCGGACAGUGUCUGGUGGGUAGUUUGACUGGGGCGGUCUCCUCCUAAAGAGUAACGGAGGAGCACGAAGGUUGGCUAAUCUGGUCGGACAUCAGGAGGUUAGUGCAAUGGCAUAAGCCAGCUUGACUGCGAGCGUGACGGCGCGAGCAGGUGCGAAAGCAGGUCAUAGUGAUCCGGUGGUUCUGAAUGGAAGGGCCAUCGCUCAACGGAUAAAAGGUACUCCGGGGAUAACAGGCUGAUACCGCCCAAGAGUUCAUAUCGACGGCGGUGUUUGGCACCUCGAUGUCGGCUCAUCACAUCCCGGGCUGAAGUAGGUCCCAAGGGUAUGGCUGUUCGCCAUUUAAAGUGGUACGCGAGCUGGGUUUAGAACGUCGUGAGACAGUUCGGUCCCUAUCUGCCGUGGGCGCUGGAGAACUGAGGGGGGCUGCUCCUAGUACGAGAGGACCGGAGUGGACGCAUCACUGGUGUUCGGGUUGUCAUGCCAAUGGCACUGCCCGGUAGCUAAAUGCGGAAGAGAUAAGUGCUGAAAGCAUCUAAGCACGAAACUUGCCCCGAGAUGAGUUCUCCCUGAGACUUAGAGUCUCCUGAAGGAACGUUGAAGACGACGACGUUGAUAGGCCGGGUGUGUAAGCGCAGCGAUGCGUUGAGCUAACCGGUACUAAUGAACCGUGAGGCUUAACCUUACAACGCCGAAG